rnacentral:rRNA from 1 species
GUGUGGAUAGCGGAGAAAUUCCAAUCGAACCCGGAGAUAGCUGGUUCUCCUCGAAAUAGCUUUAGGGCUAGCCUCAUGAGAGUCUUAUGGAGGUAGAGCACUGAAUUGCCUAGGGGGCGUCAAAGCUUACCAAAGCAUAUCAAACUCCGAAUGCCAUCAAGAUGAUUCAUGGGAGUCAGACCAUACGAGAUAAGUUGGAUGGUCAAAAGGGAAAGAGCCCAGACCUACAGCUAAGGUCCCAAAGUACGUGUUAAGUGGAAAAGGAUGUGGGGAUUCUAAGACAACUAGGACGUUGGCUUAGAAGCAGCCAUUCAUUGAAAGAGUGCGUAAUAGCUCACUAGUCGAGAGUCCCUGCGCCGAAAAUGUCCGGGGCUGAAACACGACACCGAAGCUUAGGAAUGUGUAAACAUUGGUAGAGGAGCAUUGCUAGCGGGAUGAAGCCAUACCGUAAGGAGUGGUGGACUGCUAGGAAGAGAGAAUGCCGGAAUGAGUAGCGAGAUGAAGGUGAGAAUCCUUCAGGCCGAAUAUCUAAGGUUUCCAGAGUAAAGCUGAUCUGCUCUGGGUAAGUCGGGACCUAAGGCGAGGUCGAAAGACGUAGUCGAUGGAUAACAGGUUGAAAUUCCUGUACCGCAUAUAAACAGAACUGUGGGGACACAGACAGGGAAUGGAAUCCGGGAAUGGAUAUCCCGGUGCAAGCGAGGUAGGAGUGCUGUUGGCAAAUCCGCAGCACGAUCUGAAGACGUGACGCGUACCGAACAUAAGUAGGGAAGUCCAGGCCCCUGGCUGUCAAGAAAAGCCGCUAUUGUUUUAUAUGUGCCCGUACCGCAAACCGACACAGGUGGAUGAGGAGAGAAUCCUAAGGCCGACGGGAGAAGUAUUGUUAAGGAACUCGGCAAAAUGACUCCGUAACUUCGGGAGAAGGAGUGCCAUGAGAGUGGCCGCAGAGAAAUGGCCCAAGCAACUGUUUAGCAAAAACACAGGUCUAUGCAAAACCGCAAGGUGAAGUAUAUGGGCUGACGCCUGCCCGGUGCUGGAAGGUUAAGGGGAGAUGUCAGGAGACGAAGCAUCGAACUUAAGCCCCAGUAAACGGCGGCCGUAACUAUAACGGUCCUAAGGUAGCGAAAUUCCUUGUCGGGUAAGUUCCG